rnacentral:rRNA from 1 species
ACGGAGGCGCCCAAAGGUUCCCUCAGAAUGGAUGGAAAUCAUUCGCAGAGUGUAAAGGCACAAGGGAGCUUGACUGCGAGACUGACAAGUCGAGCAGGGACGAAAGUCGGGCUUAGUGAUCCGGUGGGUCCGCAUGGAAGGGCCAUCGCUCAACGGAUAAAAGCUACCCCGGGGAUAACAGGCUUAUCUCCCCCAAGAGUCCACAUCGACGGGGAGGUUUGGCACCUCGAUGUCGGCUCGUCGCAUCCUGGGGCU